GGUUUCCUGGUGUAAUGGCUAGCACUGCGGAUUCUGAUGCUUUCAAUCAAUCGUGUUGAGUAUAAUAUUCCGCCAAUCUGGGUUCGAUUCCCAGGGAGACCU